AUACGUAGGGGGCGAGCGUUGUCCGGAUUUACUGGGCGUAAAGGGUGAGUAGGCGGUUAUAUGUGUCAGAUGUAAAAGGCUAUGGCUUAACCAUAGUUAGCAUUUGAAACUGUAUGACUUGAGUGCAGGAGAGGUAAGUGGAAUUCCUAGUGUAGCGGGGAAAUGCGUAGAUAUUAGGAGGAACACCAGUGGCGAAGGCGACUUACUGGACUGUAACUGACGCUGAGUCACGAAAGCGUGGGUAGCAAACAGGAUUAGAUACCCUGGUAGUCCACGCUGUAAACGAUGAGUGCUAGGUGUUGGCCAGCGAUGGUCAGUGCCGCAGUAAACACAUUAAGCACUCCGCCUGGGGAGUACGGUCGCAAGACUGAAACUCAAAUGAAUUGGCGGGG
rnacentral:rRNA from 1 species